rnacentral:rRNA from 1 species
UGAGGAAUAUUGGGUCAAUGGGCGAGAGCCUGAACCAGCCAAGUAGCGUGAGGGACGACUGCCCUAUGGGUUGUAAACCUCUUUUGAUUGGGAACAAAGAGCGCCACGUGUGGUGCGUUGCGUGUACCUUUCGAAUAAGCAUCGGCUAAUUCCGUGCCAGCAGCCGCGGUAAUACGGAAGAUGCGAGCGUUAUCCGGAUUUAUUGGGUUUAAAGGGUGCGCAGGCGGCGCGCCAAGUCAGCGGUCAAAGUUCCGGGCUCAACCCGGUGUCGCCGUUGAAACUGGCGUGCUCGAGUGCGUGCGAGGAAGGCGGAAUGCGUUGUGUAGCGGUGAAAUGCAUAGAUAUGACGCAGAACUCCGAUUGCGAAGGCAGCUUUCCAGCGCGCUACUGACGCUGAGGCACGAAAGCGUGGGGAUCGAACAGGAUUAGAUACCCUGGUAGU